rnacentral:rRNA from 1 species
AGCGGCGCACGGGUGAGUAACGCGUGGGUAACCUACCCAGGAGUGGGGUAUAACUCGCCGAAAGGCGGGCUAAUCCCGCAUACGUCCGGCCCAAGGAAAGAUGUGCCCUUGGAUGGGCCCGCGUUAGAUUAGCUAGUUGGUGAGGUAAAAGCUCACCAAGGCGACGAUCUAUAGCUGGUUUGAGAGGACGACCAGCCACACUGGAACUGAGACACGGUCCAGACUCCUACGGGAGGCAGCAGUGAGGAAUAUUGCGCAAUGGGGGAAACCCUGACGCAGCGACGCCGCGUGAGUGAUGAAGGCCUUCGGGUUGUAAAGCUCUGUCAGAGGGAAGGAAUGACGGUACCCUUUGAGGAAGCACCGGCUAACUCCGUGCCAGCAGCCGCGGUAAUACGGAGGGUGCAAGUGUUAUUCGGGAUCACUGGGCGUAAAGAGCACGUAGGCGGAUGGGUAAGUCAGAUGUGAAAUCCCGGGGCUCAACUUCGGAAC